rnacentral:rRNA from 1 species
GAUGAACGCUAGCUACAGGCUUAACACAUGCAAGUCGAGGGGUAACAAGAGGAAAGCUUGCUUUUCUUGUUGACGACCGGCGCACGGGUGAGUAACGCGUAUCCAACCUGCCUAUAACUAGGGAAUAACCUUGCGAAAGUAAGACUAAUACCCUAUGAUUUCCUUUGAUGACAUCAAAUUAGGAAUAAAGAUUUAUCGGUUAUAGAUGGGGAUGCGUCUGAUUAGCUUGUUGGCGGGGUAACGGCCCACCAAGGCAACGAUCAGUAGGGGUUCUGAGAGGAAGGUCCCCCACAUUGGAACUGAGACACGGUCCAAACUCCUACGGGAGGCAGCAGUGAGGAAUAUUGGUCAAUGGGCGGAAGCCUGAACCAGCCAAGUAGCGUGCAGGAUGACGGCCCUAUGGGUUGUAAACUGCUUUUAUACAGGAAUAAAGUUAGCCACGUGUGGUUAUUUGUAGGUACUGUAUGAAUAAGCACCGGCUAACUUCGUGCCAGCCGCCGCAGUAA